UGCAACAAGCGAAUGACAUGGAGGGCCUAUUUAGCAAUAAACCGCCUUCCAAAACGCUGUGCAUUGACACGGGCCAAAUUGAAACCGAAAUAAAAUAUGCGGCUAAAUUUUAAAAGACAAAAUGGGUUAAAUUGAAACGUAGCAGAAGAAGGAGGGCCUAAAUGUGUAAUUGGACCAUUGAAAGGAAUAGGCGCAGAUCCCACCCCUUCCAAACGGCGCCGUUUUUGCUUCACUUAUUUAAAACAGGUUUUCUAAAAACCCAAUUGCAGCAAUAGAACAAAAGCAGUGAUUUCACUGCUAGGGUUUCAAACCCUUUUCCAUCGCCGCUCUCGGCCUACGGCCGACCCAAAUCUCAGCCCUCCAACUCCGAUUCGAAACGAAGCAGGCCUGGAUCGUUGACGGCGAGUCCCCGCAGGUAUUGCUUGGAGAAGAAUGCGCGCGACGUGCGUGGAACGGCAGAUGCGACGUGCGGGAGCGAGGGGCGCAAUAUGCAGGGGCGGUUGCAGCUUGCGGCAACUAUUGGUGGCUAGGAAGCUAGGUUUUUUUUUUGUUUUAGGCUGAUGGGGCUUGGGUCAAAUGGGAUAUUUAGGCCUUGAUGGGUUUAGGCGUACUAGAAAAAAAAACUGGAUGGCAUGCUUUGUUUUGUGCGGGCCCGGGCAUUAUUGGGCUUGUACAUAAUAUAUUUUAAUUCUCAUAACAAUAAGAAAAUAAAAAAAAUCUACGUCAAACUUAAUGUUAAAA